GGAUGAAAGAAGCCACUUUCUUGGGACCUGCAGUCUGACUGUGCAGGCCUGUGAAAUCUCUGCUAUUUAGCGGAAAUCCGCUAUUUUCAUUUUUAAGACCGAUUUCAAUUUCCGCUUUUUUCCUGUGUUCCAUUUCCGUUUUUUCUAAGUCAAAAUUCCGCUAUUUUAUCCAAAACGGCUGGAAAACAAGUCUAGGUAAAUGGAUGCAAGCAGAAUGUGUGUGUUGUGAAUUUACACGUUACGGGGCCUUGUAUUUUGCCUUCACGAAGUUUCGAAUUUUUAGUGUAACUCUAUGAAACUGCUGCAGAUCACACCGUGCACUGUUGCCGUUGGCAUAUGGGCCCGUCAAUCUGUAUGCAUUGUCAGCGGACGGAAACCGCAUACAACACAGGGAAAUCAUUGCGUGUGGCCGUGUGCACGUUGUUGGUUACGUACAUGUACAUACGAUCGAGACUCGCGAGUGAAUGAACCAUUUCACUUGUUCGGGAUGUUUACGAAGUUAGUGUUUUGAACUUUCUUACUUUGGAGUUUGGACUUUGUUGUUUAAAUUCUUGAAUCAUUGGAAAUAUUUCUAUGACUUUCAAAAUGUCUGUUGAACAUAAAUGUGUAAUCGUUCAGAGAGGGUCGCCUUUGGAUACCGAUGAAGAUAAAAAGUGCAGCGACAUUUCUAAUCCGUGGAAAUGGUCCUGGAUGGAAUACACCGUGAAUCGUGAUGGGCAUAUGCAGCGGCUUGGCGAUAGUAAAUAGUAAGUGUGGUGAGAUUAAUUCAACAGUAUCUGAAGGAAGCUGGUCUACCUCGGACCUUAGCCAUCCUUCAGGAAGAAUCAACUGUAUCACUCAAUACGGUAGAUAGCAUUGACCAGUUCAUCACUGAUAUCAACAGUGGUCAUUGGGACACUGUCCUUCAGCAAAUACAGUCACUCAAGCUUCCAGACAAGACCCUGAUUGACCUCUAUGAACAGGUAUGACCCCCGUCCCCCUGAAAAAUACUGGAAAAUAGCGCUGUUAUUGAUAACCUCAUUAUUGUGAUAUUGAUAACCUUUCAUUGUCAAUAAUAUUCGCUGUUAUGGAGGGACAUGACAAUGAUUUUCCGCGAUUUCACAGAAUUCAUGGAAACAGGCUUUUGAAAGUGGCUUUUUAAACGGAAAUUCAUGGAAAAACAUAAUUUUCCUCGGAAUGCACAGAACAGCAACAAAAAUUUCUCCAAAUCCUCAACAAAUAACGAAUACAAUA